AUGCAACCUAACCCAACAUCACAGGGUGCCCAUUUCCCCUGGCUGUACACACCAUUCUCAAUUGGCCUGUGUUUGCUGGCUCUCUUCACAGAGGUAAAAGAUUAUGAGCCUCCAUUUGGUUCCAAGGUGCGGGAGCACCCUUGUGUUGAGAGCAUGAAGGACAAUGUGUUAAGAGACAGAGGACGACCAGAAAUUCCCAGCUUCUGGCUCAACCACCAGGGCAUCCAGAUGGUGUGUGAGACACUGACAGAGUGCUGGGACCACGACCCAGAGGCGCGUCUCACGGCCCAAUGUGUGGCGGAACGCUUUAGCGAGCUGGAGCACCUGGACAGACUCUCCCGGAGGAGCUGCUCGGAGGAGAAGAUUCCCGAAGAUGGCUCGCUGAACACUACCAAAUAGCUCUUCGGGGAAGGUGAGGCCCAGUCCAAAGAGGCCACCCCUCUCACCAAAGAACAGAGGGAGCAAGAAGCUGCCCCUGAACUGAUGCUUCCUGGAAAACCAAGGCUCACUUCCUCCCUAUAAGCUGUGUGAUGAGCAGAAACAGCAGCAGCAGGGAGAGGUGACAGAAAGCAUUCUAUGCCUUUGACUUUGUCAUGGGAUAAGCUGUGUUAGCACUUCCUCAGGAAAUGAGAUUGAUUUUUACAAUAGCCAAUAACAUUUGCACUUUAUUAAUGCCUGUAUAUAAAUAUAAAAUAGCUAUGUUUUAUAUAUAUAUAUCUAUAUAUGUCUAUAUCUAUAUCUAUAACUAUAUCUAUAUCUAUAGCCAUACUCUGAAAAGAGACAAAGAAAAAAGAUCAAAUAUUCCCAGGAAAAUUGGUUUUAUUGGAGAGCUCCAGAACCUGGCAGAGAAGGCAAGGAUUCAUGACAGCAUUAGCACUUGACAAUCACACAUGCGAUGAUUCUCUGUCCAUUUUAUGGGGGAGAACUUUGCAUUAGGAGAGUGGAUCCCCAUCUCAGAGCCAUGCUGCACUAGCUUUUGCAAUAGUAAUUCCUUUCAGGAUAGUUCUUUUCUGGCCAUGGAGCUAAGUAUAAUCGCACUGUUUGGGGACCGGUAUUCCUGAGGUUCCUGUGUGCCUUUGUUCCUCUUGGACUUUUUGCUUCACCUCCAAGCCCUGCAUCUGACUUGUGAACCUCUUUCCUCAACCAAGUUCACAAACUCAGCCCCAACUAAUAGUUAAAAUGCUUUAAAUCUCAUCUUUUCUUUUCACAGGCAGUGGAAAAAUCAGAAAGACACAUUUCCCCACCCAUCAUGGAAUUGCCACACAGUCUACUAAUAAGAUUGUUCUUUUAAAUUUUCUCACUUUGCCAAUGUUACUAUUGUCCACACCAGGCCUUCAUCCUUUUCUAAAAUGGAAUGAACUCCCCAACUGGUGGGGCUCAUUGUAUUUAAAUGUUUUGUCACACUUGACCCGAGUCUACAGUUUCUAUGCAAACACUAACAUGAUGCAUCUUUCUUACCUCCCGAAUGCACAUUCUGCCCUGGUGGAAAGGAUUUAAACUAUACAAUCCUGUCACUAUCAAGACUGUGUCCUCCAGACUUUCUGAACAAAUGUUUUGCUUGAUUAACACAGUGUUUAAAAGAGUUGAGCCACUUUUUAAAUAUUUGGAGAUUUUGCAGAAAAAUCUGGAUCCCACAUAAGGAUAGCAAAUGGUUUCCAGGUCUCUCCAGGCCACAUUGCUUACAAAGUGAAGGCAGACUGUCUUCAAAAGCUGCUGCACUUCUCUCUGUAAACAUUUGUGCUUCCCAUGCCUGUCACCACCCCUUACUAAGGGCCCGUGUAAAAAACAUGCAUUCAAGGGUUCAUUCUAUGGCAGUGUAAUAGGAUUUUAACUAUCUUAUCUGGUGUUAAAAUUUGAAAUUCACCUUCUGUUGGAUUACAGGGGACUUCCUGUAUAUUCACCUCAUUAACCAAGUCUCUUUUGCUUAUAUGCUAAGAAUUUUCCCCUCUGUCUUAGGGAUGAAAAGUCUUAACUCCAAGAAGCUUUCUUCCUGGUUACAGAUCUCUGUAUUAUGUCACCCUUCCCAGCCUUUGCAGAAAUUACUCUUGUGGACUUGGAUGUAGGACAUCGAAGUCCCAUUUGCAGUUAGGAAAUCUGGGUCCAUGUGGACAAGAGCAAAAGAUGAGCUUUAAUACUCCAUAGGAAACUUGUUAACACACAAACAAGUGUUAAUGCUGCAAGCAUCAAUCUUUUCAAAAAAAUGUUUUUGAAGCUACUUAUUUCCCACCAAAUAGGAAUAUGAGAGAAGGAUUGGCAGGAGCCAUAUAAGGUCUGUUUGCAAUGUGGAAGGUCUUAUCUCAUUUAGGUUUUAGGACAUAUGCUGAACAGGGGACGGAAUUUCUAGGCACCCUUCUAAGUGUGGUUGGGGAGAAAGUGAAGGGUUGUUUUCCUGCAGUGCCACAGAAGCACCCAGAAAUUCCACUUGCACCUUAGGACUUGCUGAUGCCAUCCCAAUAGCUGUUGCUCAUUGACCUCUAGUGGUGAACUGCUAGAAUACUGCUCCAUCGAUGGGAUAGUCCAUGAUUUAAGAGGCUUCUCAUUUCCUGGUCAUCGUCAGCAGAAACUGGAAUGUAAUGUCAGGUGAUAACUGUGGGUUGUUUUGUUUAUGUUUUUUUCUUAUUCAAGAAAAAAGACCAAGGAAUAACAUUCUGUAGUUCCUAAAAAUACUGACUUAUGUUCACUACUAUGCACAAAGGAAAAGUUUUAUUCUUUUACGGAACACUUCAGCUGGACUCAUGUAUUAAAAUAGGAAUGUGAAAAAUAAAUACUCUUUUUAUACCAAAAAAUCGUAAGCACUUCUUUUCAUUCUAUACAUUGUUUGUCUUUUAUAUAAUUAAAAUGUUUAUUAGACUGAAUAAAGCAAAAGUGCUCAGGUGAACUUCCU
rnacentral:lncRNA from 1 species